rnacentral:lncRNA from 1 species
AUAGUUGCAAGUAAGAAAAAAAAAUUUCUCUUGCUCUUUAAUUAUUAUUUCUUCAAAUCAAACCCAAGUUUCACCCAAACCAUAAACUUUUCCAAUAAAGUAGACAACCCCCUUUCAAGCUCAUCUCCUUUAUUAUCUUCAUCAUUCAAGCUUAGAUUUUCAUAGGCUUAGUGAGAGAAAACUUAAGGUAGUGAGAGAAAGUUUCUAUCAAAGUAAGGUAUGGUAUUUUUUUGAUCUUCCAAGUGUUUACGUAAGAUAUUUUAUAAAAGAAGUGUUAGGAAAUGUGUAUUAAUAUAUGUUGUUUAUAUUUUUGGUAUGAUAAAUGUUGAUGAGUGGAUAAAAUGUCUUUGAGCAAAA